UACGGAGGGUGCGAGCGUUGUCCGGAAUUACUGGGCGUAAAGGGCGCGUAGGCGGCGCGGUUAGUCGGCGGUGAAAGCCCGGAGCUCAACUCCGGGUCGGCCGUCGAUACUUCCGGGCUUGAGCACUGUAGAGGCAGAUGGAAUUCCGGGUGUAGCGGUGGAAUGCGUAGAGAUCCGGAAGAACACCGGUGGCGAAGGCGGUCUGCUGGGCAGUUGCUGACGCUGAGGCGCGACAGCGUGGGGAGCAAACAGG
rnacentral:rRNA from 1 species